rnacentral:rRNA from 1 species
GAUGAACGCUGGCGGCGUGCCUAAUACAUGCAAGUCGAGCGAACAGACGAGGAGCUUGCUCCUCUGACGUUAGCGGCGGACGGGUGAGUAACACGUGGAUAACCUACCUAUAAGACUGGGAUAACUUCGGGAAACCGGAGAUAAUACCGGAUAAUAUAUUGAACCGCAUGGUUCAAUAGUGAAAGACGGUUUUGCUGUCACUGAUAGAUGGAUCCGCGCCGCAUUAGCUAGUUGGUAAGGUAACGGCUUACCAAGGCAACGAUGCGUAGCCGACCUGAGAGGGUGAUCGGCCACACUGGAACUGAGACACGGUCCAGACUCCUACGGGAGGCAGCAGUAGGGAAUCUUCCGCAAUGGGCGAAAGCUUGACGGAGCAACGCCGCGUGAGUGAUGAAGGUCUUCGGAUCGUAAAACUCUGUUAUUAGGGAAGAACAAAUGUGUAAGUAACUAUGCACGUCUUGACGGUACCUAAUCAGAAAGCCACGGCUAACUACGUG